rnacentral:rRNA from 1 species
AUGAGUCUAUUGGCCUGGAACUGUCGAGGACUGGGGUUGGACUCGACAGUUGGCGAGCUUAGAGACCCGAUACGGUCAUACAACCCAGCGAUGGUGUUCUUAUCGGAGACAAAAAAGAGUGCAAAAUCAAUGGAGAGGCUCAAGUGGAGUCUAGGGUUUAGGCAAGGAGUGGUGGUGGAUUGUGUAGGGAAGAGUGGUGGUUUGGCUUUGUGGUGGAGAGAUCUGUUGGAAAUAUGCCCUAGAGGCAAUAAUAAAAUGGUUAUUAUUGUAUUUCCUUGUUCAUGA